UAGAGUUUGAUCCUGGCUCAGAUUGAACGCUGGCGGCAUGCCUUACACAUGCAAGUCGAGCGGCAGCGCGGGGGCAACCCUGGCGGCGAGCGGCGUACGGGUGAGUAAUGCAUCGGAACGUGUCCUCUUGUGGGGGAUAACCAGUCGAAAGACUGGCUAAUACCGCAUGAGCUCGCGAGAGGAAAGCAGGGGACCGCAAGACCUUGCGCGAGAGGAGCGGCCGAUGCCGGAUUAGCUAGUUGGCGGGGUAAUGGCCCACCAAGGCGACGAUCCGUAGCUGGUCUGAGAGGACGACCAGCCACACUGGGACUGAGACACGGCCCAGACUCCUACGGGAGGCAGCAGUGGGGAAUUUUGGACAAUGGGGGCAACCCUGAUCCAGCCAUGCCGCGUGUGUGAAGAAGGCCUUCGGGUUGUAAAGCACUUUCGGACGGAACGAAAUCGCGCGGGUGAAUAUCCCGCGUGGAUGACGGUACCGUAAGAAGAAGCACCGGCUAACUACGUGCCAGCAGCCCCGGUCAA
rnacentral:rRNA from 1 species